rnacentral:lncRNA from 1 species
CCACAUUUAAGUUGCCGUCCGACAUAUACCAUAACAAUUCUUGCAACUAAUAACUUCUUUCCAAAAUCCAGAAUCUCAUGAUCACAAGUCUUUGAAUGUCUACACGUAUCAAACCCCAGAAUGUUUAACAAUAAAACGAAAGUACAUAAAGGCUAAAACAAAAAAAAGGAGUAGAAAGGGACUCUUCGGUCUAUGGACGCGACAGAUAUACCUCGGAAUAUCUUCAAGCACCUCGUCUCAAGCGUGAUAAGUUUGAGUGGAGGUACCUGGAUCGGCACAUGAAAAACAUGUAUUGAAAGGGCAUGGGUACACCACAACGAUACUCAGUAAGUGCCAAGUCUAACCUCGGUCGGGUAGUGAUGAGGAAGGUCACAGCCCUACUGAGAUUAAAUAAAAUAUAAGGUGCGACAAUAUAAGAUAGAGCAGUACAACUGAAAGAUAACAAUAUGAAUUAAUACAGGAUAAUAAGGAUAACUACAACUGAAACAGAGGCAAAAACAACCACCAGGAAUACCACUCUUCACAAAUAUAAUAACUGGGGAUCUCUCAGUAUCCCAUGGAUCUCUUAAUUGGGAUGUGUCAAAGUUUCUAGGAGUUUCAAAGGGAUCCAGUCAUUGUUUACACCCCAAACACAUUGCAUGGUUAGAUCAAGGUGCAGUGUGGAAGGGCCAACCUUCCAAUGUACAAGUUCAGAGGGAACUCAGGGUCCCAAACCAAGGCUCAUAAGAGGGGUGCAGAGCUUAGAGUCUAAGAAUAAGUGCAAGUGCAUAAAGAGGGAAUUAGGGAAGUCAGGACAUGCUGGUGGUCAUGUCCAGCAAUUGGGAGUACCGACACAUCCCUAACCAGCCUGUUAGCCUAAUCUUAGGAGUUAGGAUCCAUUGUGGAUCAGGUUCAAACCGGGGCAACAAUAUGGAUACUGCCAGGCCAUGAGCGUUAACUCACAAACAGAGAAGGGGUGAGGGCAUGGAGAAUUCAUGAAAAUAGCAGAUGCAAAGAUAAAGUAGCAUAUUCAUUAUAGAACAUGAACAACAAAGCAGACAUGAGUAUAACAACUGUAAAGUAAACACAUAGGGAGGAAGUUGAAAUCAAAACUGAGACAUACUAGUUUCAAGGAACAAAUAAGGGAAAGCAAGAGUCUUAUAAGCCAAAUUGCAAGCAAACAGUUCAAAGAGACCUCAAAAGAGAGUAUAAUAUUGAAAGAUAGUCCUAAUCGAGAGUGUGAGAAUAUUGAAUUUUAAGUGUUCAUUAAUCGAUGAUGUGUAUAGAUGGGUCAUGCCCCUUUUUAUAGUGCAGAAAAUAAGUAAUAAAGGUAAGGAAAUAUUCAUUGAAAUCAAUCUCCAUUUAGUUAAGGGAUCCUAAUUUCAACGGGUAAAACCUAAUAAGGAAAUGAGUUUUGAUUAAAACCUUUUCAAAGUAGCACAAAAGGGGUAAAUACAUAGAAAUCAUUUAAGGAAAGCAUUCAAUGGUACAAGCUUGUGAAUAAAUAUGGAAUGUGAAUUAAUCAACAGCCAGUAAAAAUCGGAAAUUGAGUUUUGGUAUGAAUGAAUCUAACCAGAAAAGGUGAGAAAAUGUUUAAUUAAAGAAAACCAGUAACAAUCAAUCGAACCUUAUUAAAAGGAAUUCUGAAUCAAUCACAAAAUGGUAAAACCCUUUUGAAGAAAGAAUCCCUCAUAUAUAAAGCGUACAGACUUGUCAAAUAAAAAAGUACUGUCAAGUUAAUUAGAAAGAAUCUAGUAUAGAAAAGUUCAGAGUCACAAACAAUGAGGCUCAGAUUUAGUACUUAGGCUCAGACUUAGUUUGAGAGAAUCUAGGGUCCUAUAAUAGAACCCUAGUCCAAACACAAGACCAAACUUGCCAAAAACCCCAAAUCCUAGGGUUUUCAACUUCAAUCAGAAGUAGAGACGAGAAGGCAAAUAACUGAAUCACGUUUAGAAGUCUCUUUCAGAGACUCAUGAGAAAACAAACAGGUAAAAUAGAAGGUAUUAAAUAACCAUAGCGUAAAAGCUAAUUUGAAGCAUAAAGAAUAUGUUUUGAGAAAAUCUUGGAACUUAAACAAGUUAAUAGGACAAAAGGGUAGUGUAAAUUUAAGGAAACAGUAGAUGAAACAUGUCUAGAAAGAACUUCAAACAAAGUCCAGAAAAAGGCAAAUAAAGAGCUUGUCACACUUAGUAGAAAAAUGCAACAGAAGAACACAAGAACCUCGGAAAAAAUUAUAGCAAAAAAAAACACAUAUAGAAAAAUAUAGUAUGAUAGUCAUACAAGAGCAUGGUAGAAGGAAGAAUACAAGAACACAGUAGGAGCCAGUAAACGUAAAGGAAUAGGAAGGUCAGAAAUCACUCAAACAUUUCAGAAAACCAUAGAUCAGAAAAACAAAGAUCUAAAAAAAGAAUUUUUGAAAGAAAAAUUGGGGAAAUCGUUUGAAAACUCAAGUGGAGCAUACAUAACAGAUCUAAGGAAUGAAAAUCAGAAAGAACCUCGAAUAGCCAUGGAUUGCAGAGAAAACCCUAGAAAUGAGAAAGGUCUUGAAGAAAGUCUGAUCCUGGUCGAAAAUACUCAUAUUGCUCGAAUAUGCCGGAGUAGCGGCCGGAGAAGCCAUAGAUCUAUAGAUCUGAGAAGAUUUGAAUGGGAGCCAUCAAGGUCAAGCCCUUGGUUCUUCAAAUAUUGAGCACACAGGAGUAAUAGGGGGUGAGUAUGAGGGUAUAAUGACCGGAAUGACCAUGAUUUCCGCGGAGCUUGAGGUAGGUAACGAUGAGAUAGACUAGGGUUUCGAGAGGGUUUGAGAGUGUUUUGAGGGAUGACAUGUUUCAAAGGUGGCUGCGAAUGAGAAAUAAGGGAAUUAGGGUAGUCAUCUGGGGCUAAAAAGGG